AGGUCACUGUUAUUAGGGUUCGACUAAGUCAUGCGAGGCGUGAGUCAUCUGGACUCGCCGAACUGCUCAGCAACACGUAGCUAACCUACCCUCAAGUGGAGAAUAAUCCUGAGAAAUUGGGGCUAAUGCUCCAUAGUUGUUGAAGGCUGGAAUGCAUCAACAACCAAAGCUUCGGCGCUUGAGGAUGGGACUGCGGCCUAUCAAGGCUGUUGUGAGUCUAAAAUACUCACAAACCGAUAACGGGUAGGGGCCAUGAGAGUGGAAGCCUCGAGAUGUCUUCUGAGACAUGAAGACAGGUCCUACGGGACGCAGCAGAUACGAAAACUUUCCAAUUGCUUAACGGCUGAGAAGGGAACCCUGAGUGGUUAUACACUGUAUAACCUUUUGUUUUGCCUAAAAAGCAAGACGAAUAAGUGGUGGGUAAGACGGGUGGCAGCCGCCGCGGUAAUACCCGCGCCACGAAUGGUGAUCGCGAUUAUUGGGUCUAAAGCGUCCGUAGCCGGUUUAACAAGUUCUUGGUGAAAUUUGCUAGCAAACUAGCAAGCUUGCAGAGAAUACUGUUAAACUUGGGAUUGGGAGAGGGUGAAGGUAUUUCACGGGUAGGGGUUAAAUCCUUUAAUCCGUGAAGGACCACCGGUGGCGAAGGCGUUCACCUGGAACAAGUCCGACGGUGAGGGACGAAAGCAUGGGGAGCAAACGGGAUUAGAUACCCCGGUAGUCCAUGCCGUAAACGAUGCCCGUUUGAUGUUGCAAGCUCUACAGGAGGUUGCAGUGUCGGAGUGUAGGUGUUAAACGGGCCACCUGGGGAGUACGACCGCAAGGUUGAAACUUAAGGGAAUUGGCGGGAGAGCACACAAGGGGUGGAGGCUGCGGUUUAAUUGGAUUCAACGCCAGGAACCUCACGAGGGUUGACAGCAGAAUGAAGGUCAAUUUAAAGGGUUUACCAGACAAGCUGAGAGGUGUUGCAUGGCCAUCGUCAGCUCGUACCUUGAGGCGUGCGGUUAAGUCCGUUAACGAGCGAGACCCACGCUGUCAUUUGCUAUCAUAUUUCAGAUCGAAAGAUCAAAAAAUAUGAGCACUAUGGCAGGACCGCUGGUGAUAAACCAGAGGAAGGAGUGGGCGACGGUAGGUCCGUAUGGCCCGAAUAUCCUCGGCUACACGCGGCCUACAAUGGUUGAGACAAUGUGUUGCAACGCCGAAAGGCGAAGCCAAUCACCUAAACUCAACCUCAGUUCAGAUUGAGGACUGUAACUCGUCCUCAUGAAGCCGGAAUCCCUAGUAAGCAAACGUCAUCAUCGUUCGCUGAAUGCGUCCCUGCUCUUUGCACACACCGCCCGUCAAGCCAUGCGAAUAGACUUUUGAUGAGGCUUUGCUUUAACAAAGUCGAAUCAAGGGUUUGUGAGUGGGGCU
rnacentral:rRNA from 1 species